UACAGAGGGUGCAAGCGUUGUUCGGAAUUACUGGGCGUAAAGGGCGCGUAGGCGGCCUGUUAAGUCGAAUGUGAAAUCCCUGGGCUCAACCCAGGAACUGCGUCCGAUACUGUCGGGCUAGAGUCCGGAAGAGGCAAGUGGAAUUCCCGGUGUAGCGGUGAAAUGCGCAGAUAUCGGGAGGAAGACCAGUGGCGAAGGCAGCUUGCUGGGACGGUACUGACGCUGAGGCGCGAAAGCGUGGGGAGCAAACAGG
rnacentral:rRNA from 1 species